UGGCGAUCUGAUGGAUUCUGAUACCAGCCCAGGUGCUUUGGAGAGGUUGACUCGCAGAUAAACAAGGUAAAAUGAGAAUUGGCUUCAUCUGAAACGUGUGUGUCCUCCCCCUCCCCUCCCCCCUUUAAAGCUUGGUCAACAUUGUCUGGAAUGGGAAUUGUGAUUUGUUUUUUAAGUAAUCUUUGUGCUUAACGUGAGGCUUGAACUCAUGACCCCAAGAGCAAGAGUCGCAUGCUUCAUGGACUGAGCCAGCCGGGUGCCCUGGAGUUAUGUUUUCGCCUUUUUUUCAGUUGGCGUAAGGAAUAUGAAAAAAAAAAAAAUCCACUGUCUUUCCUUUUUAUUACAGCUCAGAAUAAUUGCACGAAAAAGUGGCCAAAAUAAUAUCAAGUAUGGUAGGAAGGUGUCCAUCAUAAAAUCUAACACUGAGGGAGGGGAAAAGGGGAAAAAAAAACAACCCCGGGGCACCUGGGUGACUCAGCUGGUUGAGCGUCUUGAUAUUGCGGUUUGUGAGUUCAAGCCCUACAUUGGGCUCGCUGCUGUCAGUGCAGGGCCUGCUUGGGUCCUCUGUCCCCCUCUUUCUCUGUCCCCCCCCCCCCCCCCCCCCCACUUGCACUCUCUCAAAAAUAAGUAAAUACUGAGCGUAACCGCUCAGUCGGUUAAGCGUCCGACUUCGGCUCAGGUCAGGAUCUCACUGUCCAUGAGUUCGAGCCCCACAUCGGGCUGUGUGCUGACAGCUCAGAGCCUGGAGCCUGUUUCGGAUUCUGUGUCUCCCUCUCUCUCUGCCGCCCCCCUGCUCAUGCUCUGUCUCUCUCUGUCUCAAAAAUCAAUCAUUUAAAAAAGUUAAAAAAGGGGCGCCUGGGUGGUUCAGUCAGUUAAGCGGCCGACUUCGGCUCAGGUCAUGAUCUCGCAGUCCGUGAGCUCAAGCCCUGCAUCAGGCUCUGUGCUGACAGCUCGGAGCCUGGAGCCUGUUUCAGAUUCUGUGUCUCCUUCUCUCUGACCCUCCCCCACUCAUGCUCUGUCUCUCUCUGUCUCAAAAAUAAAUAAAAAUAAACGUUAAAAAAAUUUUAAAAAAAGUUAAAAAAAACAUUAAAAAAAGAACACCUCUGUGAUUUGUGUACCAAAGUACAGACCCUCAUGCCCCCACCCCCCACCCCAUCAUUUAAAGGGUAGGACUAAGGAGGAUAAUUUUCAGUCUCUGACUUCACUUUCUUUUUUAAGCCUUUCUUUUGUUAUUAAAAAUUUUUUUUCAAAUAUUUUUGAGAGACAGAGGGGAGGGGGACAGAGGAUCUGAAGCAGGCUCUGUGCUGACAGCAGAGAGCCUAGUGCGGGGCUCGAACUCCCCAACGAUCAUGACCUGGGUUGAAGUCGGACCCUUAACCAACUGAGCCACCCAGACACUCCUCUGACUUCACUUGAGACUAUUACACUUGAAUGAAUAUUUCCUGAGCACUGACCCUGACCCAGGGACUUGGGUAUGGAGAUAACGAAGCCACGCCUAACAGGCAUGUGUCUAAAGGACGUAGAGUGUGGGGGCCGCCCGAGGGGCUUAGUCGGUCAAGUGUCCAGCUCAUGGUUUUCGCUCAGGUCACGGUCUCAUGGGCUCUGCUAACAACACGGAGCCUGCCUGGGAUUCUUUCUCUCCCUCUCUCUGCCCCUCCCCCCCCAAAUAAAUAAAUGUAGAAAAAAGGGACAUAGAGUGUGUGUAUGUGUAUGUUUUGGGGGUGGUGGUGUUUAUACUCUGAAGAGCAACCCUCAACGGCUUCCUGCUCUCCCAGGUUCCUGGGCCAGGAAGGGGGGCUCAGAUAUUUGAAGUCUGGACCAGAUCUUAGUUUCUUUCCAGCAGGUAGAAAAUGUAGGCAGAGCUUCCUGUGAAAUGAUAGACCAUGUUACCACUGCCUAUCUCCACCCGAAUAAAGCCAAUCCGCCUAGAAACCACUUUGGGGCUGGGGCACCUGGGUAGCUAGGUUGAUUAAACAUCCGACUUCGGCCCAGGUCAUGAUCUCACAGUUUGUGGGUUCGAGCCCCACAUCGGGCCCUGUGCUGCCAGUUCAGAGCCUGGAGCCUGCUUCGGAUUCUGUCUCCCUCUCUCUCUGCUCCUCCCCUACUCAUGCUCUGUCUCUCUCUGUCUCUCAAAAAUAAAUAAACAUUAAAAAAAAUAUCACUUUUGGUGAUGUGGAGUUUGAGGAUUCUUUCAGAGCAAAUUUUAUUGCAAGGAGAGGGUGCCUGUUCUUGAACUAGAACUGUUGAUAUUAAUGAAUAUUGUUAAGAGAUAACUUAAAAAUUUUUAAAUGUUUAUUUUUGAGAGAGAGAGAGAGAGACAGAAUGUGAACGGGGCGAGGUCAGAGCGAGAGGGAGACACAAUUUCAAGCAGGCUCCAGGCCCAAGCUAUUAGCCCAGAGCCUGACAUAGGGCUCGAAACCAUAAAGAAUGAGAUUGUGACCUGAGCCAAAGUUGGACGCUUCACCGACUGAGCCACCCACAUGCCCCAAGAGACAACUUUUAUUAUUUUUGAUUUAUUUAUUUUUAAUUUUUUUUUAAAACGUUUAUUUAUUUUUGAGACAGAGACAGAGCAUGAACGGGGGAGGGGCAGAGAGAGAGAGGGAGACACAGAAUCUGAAACAGGCUCCAGGCUCUGGGCUGUCAGCACAGAGCCCCACGUGGGGCUCGAACUCACAGAUGGCGAGGUCAUGACCUGAGCCGAAGUUGGAUGCUCAACCGACUGAGCCACCCAGGUGCCCCAAGAGACAACUUUUAAAAUGUGUUUUUCCUUUAAAGCAGAAAAGCAAAAUUUACUUCAGUACUGAGAUCAACUUAGUGGCCAACUUAGAACAAACCCGGUCCGAAUUCUGAUGACCCCACCGUGCCUCUUGAUGGUGGCGGAUGAGGCCUCACCGUAAUUUUUCCUCCUUUUUCCUACAUCUUGAGAGUACACUCGCGGAACUCCUCUUGGCCGAAAGAUCAUUUUGCGUGUGUUCUGUUCCUCCUUCCUGCAGACCGGCGUGUCUGCCCGUAGGCCCCCCCUCGGGAGCUGGCUGUCUGGACCUCACCUUGCGUUUGUAGCCCCUGCUCCUGGACUCCAGGCAGGAACCUUCAGACCCAGCUUCAUUCAGCUAGGGAGUGGGCCCGACCCCCCCAGGGCCACGCUUCCUGGACGUGGCUCCAGGGGCGGCGUGACAAGGGGCUGGGGACAGGUCCCAGAGAGCUUGAAGCUAAGGUUAAGGAGUCCUGGGCCUGGACCGCCCCCUCUCCUGCCCCCCCCCCCUCCCAGAGGAGGUCACCCUAGUCUCUGGGGCUUUGGAUUGUUUGGGGGAGGUCUUGGCCCAUCAUUUUUUUUCUUCUUCCUGCCUUGCUGGCCAGCAUUUAACCUUGUGAUUAGAAAAAUGUAAAAAUGGGUCUUCAUUCAUUCAUUCAUUCAUUCAUUAAAAAUUUUUUAUUUAAAAAUUUAAAAAUGCUUAUUUUUGAGAGAGAGCACAGGCAGGGGAAGGGCAGAGAGAGAGGGAGACACAGAAUCUGAAGCAGGCUCCAGGCUCCGAGCCGUCAGCCCAGAGCCCGACACGGGGCUCGAACCCACAAACCUCGAGAUCAUGACCUCGGCCAAAGUCGGCCGCUCAACCGACUGAGCCGCCCAGCCACCCCUUUGCUCUUUAUUUUCCAGUGUUUUAUUAGUACACUAAAACGUUCUAUUUAUAAAGCAAAAAUUGUAAAGCUUUGUUAGGAAAAUUGGCCAAGCGUUCAAUUUGUAGCAAAUGUCAAAUUACCACGUUGACUCUUAGCCAUCUGGCAGUUGGCAAAUGGGAGCUGCUGUCUGGCCUGGGGCAGGGUGGCAGGUCUUAGUGGGUGGUGGUGUCACUGUAGCUACACUGGAGACCGCAGAAGCAGGGACACCUCUUGGAGGAAAAUGCACCGCUGGGCGCCCGGGGGGCUCAGUCAGUUGAGCGGCCGACUCCGGCUCAGGUCACGAUCUCACGGUUCCUGAGUUUAGGCCCCACGUGGGGCUCUGUGCUGACGGCUCGGAGCCUGGAGCCUGCUUCGGAUUCUGGGUCUCCCUCUCUCUCUGCCCCUCCCCUGCUCAAGCUCUGUCUCUCAAAAAUAGAUAAACGUUAAAAUAAAUUUUAAAAAGUAAAAUUGUCCAUGACCACCGGAUAUUAAAAACUAUGCACUUGGCCGGGGACGUAGCAGAUGAGGGGGUCUGUGGGACGUGCAUGCACACAGGCCUCCAGGAAAUACCUGUUGAGCAUCGACCCCGUGGUCAGUGCUGUGCCAGGCUCUGGGGACACGGCUGUGGACGGAGAAGCAAAAAGUCCAGGUGACGGAGUUCGAGUCGGUUGAAAGGGGCUGCCGAUCCCAGAGAGAGAGCAGGAGGGCACGGAGAUUGCUAGAGUGACCGGGACCAGGGAGAAAAAUGCAGCGGUGGGUGUUGUGCGCCUGCGUGAGAAGAGGCGGCGUGAGCGGGAGGUUGGGAUGUGAGCUGGGGGGCCUCUAGCGAGGCCUCGUGGGAGGGUGGCCUCAGCGGAAAGACAGGUUAGAAGUGAGGGGCUCAGCCCUUGAGGGGGGACCGCCAGCCGUGGAGGGGUGGACGAGCGGAGCUGGGAGGGACCGGGAGGCCACAGGCGGCAGGAGGGAUACUGUGUGAUGCCAGCCAAGCUCUAACAGCGUUGCUCUGGGGCGAGGAAGUGGGGAGAAGCAAUGGGAUUCUGGGCUCAUCUGGAAGCCGGCUGAUGAACGGGACGUGGGGUUUGGAAGGGAACGGGUCGGGGCGACGGGAAGACUGUAGCUUGAGCAGCAAGAUCGGCAGAGCGGCCUGUGCCGAGCCUGGAGGGCUGCGGUGGGGCAGGUUUGGGGAAGGUCAGCCGGCUGACCUUGGACAAAUAAGUUGGGAGAACCUGUUAGAGAUCCCAGCGAGGCCCGGCGGUGAGGCCUGGACGUGCGGAGCCGGGAGGUGGAGACCAGGGUCACCAGAGGCGGGGGUGGGGCCUUGGGGCCAGGGACGUGGGUGCAGGUGCUCGUGUGUGCACGCGAGUGGGUGCGUGUAGCUGGGCAGAUACAGGGUGGGCAGCGGCACUGAGGGUUAGAGCUUAACACCCAGGACUCGCUCGAAGGUAGGGAUUUGGUGGCUCUCAGGGCAGAGGUGGUGACUUCUCAACUCUUCAUUAGGAGAUUUUCAAACAUGCAGCCCAAGGGGACGGGCCGACGUUCUCGCAGCUUCCCGGCAGGAAGGCCUUUUUUAGGACAAGCCCAGCACUGUCAGCCUGCCUUAGGCCUCACGCGCUCCCCUGAAAUCAUGAGCCUCCCCCACCGCCGGGAGCUGUGGGGGGACAGGCAGCGGCAGCCCUUGGGGUAAAGGGCCGAGCCUCAUAGCCCUUACAUCCUGUGGACAGAUCACGAGAUAGAGUCCUGCCCCGCCACGUGGACAAGUGCGUAGAAAGGAGCCCGUGUGGGGGCGCCUGGGUGGCUCAGUCAGUUGAGCGGCUGACUCUUGAUUUCGGCUCAGGUCGUGAUCCCAGGGUCGAGACUGAGCCCCACCCACAUCGGGCUCCCCACUGAGCGUGGAACCUGCUUAAGAUUCUCUCCCUUUCUCUCUCUGCCCCUCCCCCACGUUUCUUUCUGUCUGUCUGUCUCUCUCUCUCUCUCAAAAUAAACAAACAUGUAGACAUUAAAAAAAAAAAAGCCUGCGUGUGGAUCCACUCUGCAUGUCCUGGGGACGCACAGGGUGGCCCACAGUCAGCAUCUGGGGGACCUCGUGUAUUUAUUGUAUAAUGUUUAAUGGUUGUUUUUUUUUUUAACCACGUGCAUGAAAUACCUUUUUGUUAAAAAGUACGUAAGAAGCCCUUUAACACGGUGCCAACCAGCUGGUCUAGAAAACAUGGGGUUGGCACUGACCCUGGCCUGUACCUCCGUCAGAGAAAGCGAGGAGGAAAGAGGGGUCUGGUUCCUCUACUUGUUAUAAUUUCACUUUUUUGGUACUUUUGUCUGCACUUGGCCUGGAGAGAGCACUGAGAAACAGGACGCGUUCCUUCGGAGUUCAAGGUUAAGUUGCUUUGGACAUGUCACGGACACAGGAGUCAACGGAACGAGUUCCGGCCAAAACGGGACUAAAUCGCGUAGCAUGUAUGUAGUUAUUAUUUUUAAAUGGUUUAGUUUUUUCGGUAAUCUCUACGCUGAACGUGGGGCCGGAACUCACAACCUCGAGAUCAAGAGUCACAUACUCUUGCACCCCAAAAAUGAAGUCGUAUUUAUUAUAACCCAAAAGUGUAAAAUAAGCGUGAAUCCACACUGCCACGGGUGGUUGAGUAAAUCAACAAGCAGGUAGAAAAAUCUCCCACGCGGAGGGAGCUCCGUAGACGCUCCCUGUCUGCGCGGGGGCAUAAAUCUCCAGUCGUUGAGUGUGGUGGCUGGCGUGACCGUGUCCCAGGAGGGCCGGGAGGGAGAAAUCCGACAGGUGCCGUGCCAGCCAGGUGGCCACGGCGAGGUCCCUGUAAAACUUGAUGGUGACACCCGUGCGAUGAGGGCACUGCCCCUCUGUGGGCGGCCUCCUCAAAUUCACAGUCCUAGUGAUUUUGGAAGAAAAACGUCAGCCGAAUCCCAGUGGGGGGACAUCUUACAAGACGUCCUCAGAACCGUCCAGGUCAUCAAAAGCGAGGAGAGCCUGAGCCGCUGUCACAGCCGAGAGGGGCCUAAGAGGAUAUGCCCACUGAGUGGCCACUGGAUGGAAUGUAGUGUCCUGGGUGGGACCCGGGGGCAGAAAGAGGAGGCGAAGUGAAAGCUAAUGACAUCUGAAGGAAGUACAGACGGACUUCAGUUAAUACUUAAAGAAAUUGAUUUUUUUUUUUUUAUUUAAAAAAAAAAUUUUUUUUUUCAACGUUUAUUUAUUUUUGGGACAGAGAGAGACAGAGCAUGAACGGGGAAGGGGCAGAGAGAGAGGGAAACACAGAGUCGGAAACAGGCUCCAGGCUCUGAGCCAUCAGCCCAGAGCCCGAGCGGGGCUCGAACUCACGGACCGCGAGAUCGUGACCUGGCUGAAGUCGGACGCUCAACCGACUGCGCCACCCAGGCGCCCCAAGAAAUUGAUUUUUUAAAAAUAUUUAUUAACAUUUAUUUUUGAGAGACAGAGAGAGGCAGAGCAUGAGCAGGGGAGGGGGGGGAGAGAGAGAGAGAGAGAGAGAGAGAGAGAGAGAGAGAAUCUGAAGCAGGCUCCAGGCUCCGAGCUGUUAGCACAGAGCCCAACACAGGGCUCAAACUCACCAACUGCAAGACCAUGAGCCGAGCUGAAGUCGGACGCUCAACCGACGGAGCCACCCAGACGCCCCUUAAAGACAUUGAUUUUUGCUGGGAACCGUUCUAGCCUUGAAGAUGCUAAUGUGCCUUGUGCUUUAGGGUCUGUUUUUAUCCUUUCCUGUUCCUCUGACCUUGGCCCGGAACUGGUGUGCCACGGAGCCCACUUUGGGAAGUGGGAGGCGUGCGUGUGGUGACUGUGGCGCUUCCCCUCAGGGCCUGGCGGUGCCUUCCCGCAAGGACUCUUGAAAACCAGGGACAUGAGACUCCACGGAGGUAGGUUUGCAGCCCCUCGUGCUCUGGGUAAGUUGUUUUGUUUUUUGCUGUUCUCACUCUUCUUUGGGUGCCUGUUGUUUUUUUAAAAAGUUGUUUUUUUAAAAAGUUGUUUUUUUAAUAACCUCACACUUGGGAAAAGCUCUCUGACUCGGGUGGGUCAGUCCCCAUCCCGGGCUCACGUUCUUCAUCUGUUAAAGGGGGAGGAGGACAUUUGAGCUGAGUGGGUGCCCCCCCAACAGUCUAGAACUUUCAGUGUCAAUGAAUGUGUGACAUUCCCUUUUUUUCCCCCUAGAUUUAUCUGUGCUUUAUUUCAAAAGAAAUUGAAAUUGUUGAUAGUAGUUAGCCUAAUAAAAAUGAAAGCCUCAAUUAAAGAAUACAUUUUCCUCGUAAAAUAAGAUAUUUUUUUUUUGUUUCUUUUUUUUUAAAUAUGAAAUUUAUUGUCAAAUUGGUUUCCAUACUGAAUGUGUGACUUUUCCAAUGAGCUUGUUAAGACCGAGCUUCUCGGGGCAAAGGGGCUUUCCCCUCACAGAGGCGAAGCCCACGGGCUACACUCCCCGCCUCCAGCUGCCCGCGGGUUCCCUAAAACGCUUUCGGAAAACUCUAGAUCUGUCUUGGGGAGGUAGCACCCACGGUGAAACCCAGCCCCGUUGGGACGCAGCUCUGACUCUGACAAAUGCGUCCUACAGAGCGACCGCCAUCACAGCCAAGGCACACAGUCCCACAGCUCCGGAAGGUUCCCUCCUGCCCUUUUGUGGCCAAGCCC
rnacentral:lncRNA from 1 species